AAAGAGAAGCACCUCAUCUAUGUAUUUAUUUAUUUUUUAUAUCAGUGAAGCCCCUACAGCUGUGUUAGUUGUGCAUGCAGCACAGCUAGGAGAGCACCGUGCUGUGAUGGGUGGGCAGGAGCUGCAGCUGCUCGGAGGAACAGCCCCGAUGGAUGUCCUGGUACAAAGCUGGAGUUCUUACAAAGGUGCAGCAAGCGUGAGGAGCUGGAGGCGAUCCUCCCCACAGCACCUGGGAGCUGGGUGCCUGCACUGGGCUUCUGCAGGCUCUGCUCCAAACCUGGCUGUCGCUGCUGCACCGUGACUGCUCCCCUCCCGAUAGCAGCCGUGCGCUGGGGACACUUGGUGACAGUGGAAACCCCAAGCCAGGGAACGUGCCUGGUGGUGUUCUCUAAGGGAUAAAACGAGGAGUACAAGCAGAGUUACAAAGGUGCGAGCCUAAAUACCAGACCCCGAGCUCCGCUUGUCUCCUUUGUGGAGGUUUUCUAGUGAGCAGCUCCUGGCAGUGCUCGUCCUUUGUAGCUCCUGGCAGCGCGCUGUGCGGCUGCGGGAGGUUAAUUAGGGAGCCAGCCAGAGCUCGGGCUUCCACUCACAAGCUUUGAGUGACUCAGUGCUUUUCUCCAUUAAAGCUAAUGUAUUUACAAGCCUGCCUUAUAUUUAUCUAACGAGGAUAGUUACCCUCCUCCAAAACACCGUGAUCUAUUUGGGCUGAGGCAGCGCACCUGAAUUGGGGUUGUUACUGGCUUCCUUUGCCCCAUCCCCAGAACACCACAAGCAAAGCUCGGAGCCUGCAGGACGAUGGCUUAGAUCUGAGCUUCCCACGUUUUCCGAGCCCAUGGACAAAUGAAUAAAACCCACCAGGAGACUGGCUGCCAGCCCGUGAUGAAUAGGACGGCCGAGUGAGGCACGUGAGGAGCUCAAACAAACCUCAGCCCCCGGGGCUUCGUGCUGCAGGAGGACUGUUGCUGACAGAACAGGUGUUUGCUCAGGGAGAUGAAGAAAGUGAGUAAAUAUUCCGGGCUCUCAGGAAGCCCCGAGGAAUUGUUGGAGGAUGCUGCCGGGGGUUUGGGAACACAAUGCACUUCUGUCAGCGUUGACCGGGGCGGAGGUUAUCAGAGAGGAAAGAAAGGGCAGUAGACAGAGAUAAGUACUUGUUUUUGAUGCGUUUUGACCUUAGUUUGUGCUGUCGGCUGUGGUGGAUCGAUGGCACGUCCCUGCGGUGGGCCUGACCUUGGACGUGGCCGUGCAACAUUUGGUGCGUGCCCAAAUGCAGGAGGUAGGUGAGUCCAUCGCUGGCUUGAGCUUUCCUUGAGCUGUGUUAGUAAUUAAAAGCAAACAAAACGAGAAACUGAGCUCAAACAUGGAUCUGUCGGAGGGACUGGGGGAGAGGAGACCUCCCUGUGCCCUGGGGAAGAGCUGAAGGCGCAGACGGAAAGCCGGUGGUGCUCCCACCCAUCGCUGCAUCUCACGUCUGCUGCUGGACGCCAAAUUGGCAAAGCUUCCACCAGGGCUUCAUAAAGCAAGCGGUGUAACCUAUUACAGCAAAUCAUCCUUUGUCAUCACUUGCCUUCACAAGGUAUUUGUAAAUAAAAGAGCUUGCUUCCUACCUGUAAUAGAAUUACACAGAUAAAUCAGUGCUCGGCUCCUUCCCUUCGCUGCAGCCUCCUGCAAUUUUCUCGGUGAAGUUUUCAUGUAGGAUGGCCUCUCCAGGGGCUUAAAAUGAAUCACAGAACAAAAUGAAACCUGACCUUAUGCCGUAUGUAUUUUUUAUGACUGGAGCUUAUCUUAUCAGGCUCGGUUGCCUACCUUGCGCCGGAAAGAAAUUUUGGCUGGCGUUUCCUAGCAGGAGGAAAGAGCCGUUCCCCUAAAGCUCGAUAAUACCGUCGGACUUGCGUCUGCCUUUCACCCAGGUGUGACCCCACUUAAGAAUAAAGUCAUUUCCCAGCUCA